rnacentral:rRNA from 1 species
GUAGGUGGCAAGCGUUGUCCGGAAUUAUUGGGCGUAAAGCGCGCGCAGGCGGUUCUUUAAGUCUGAUGUGAAAGCCCACGGCUCAACCGUGGAGGGUCAUUGGAAACUGGAGAACUUGAGUACAGAAGAGGAAAGCGGAAUUCCACGUGUAGCGGUGAAAUGCGUAGAGAUGUGGAGGAACACCAGUGGCGAAGGCGGCUUUCUGGUCUGUAACUGACACUGAGGCGCGAAAGCGUGGGGAGCAAACAGGGAUUAGAUACCCUGGUAGUCCACGCCGUAAACGAUGAGUGCUAAGUGUUAGGGGGUUUCCCGCCCCUUAGUGCUGCAGCUAACGCAUUAAGCACUCCGCCUGGGGAGUACGGCCGCAAGGCUG